rnacentral:rRNA from 1 species
ACGAACGCUGGCGGCAGGCUUAACACAUGCCAGUCGAACGCACCUUUCGGGGUGAGUGGCAGACGGGUGAGUAACGCGUGGGAAUCUACCCUUCUCUACGGGAUAGCUCCGGGAAACUGGAAUUAAUACCGUAUACGUCCUGAGGGAGAAAGAUUUAUCGGGGAAGGAUGAGCCCGCGUUGGAUUAGCUAGUUGGUGGGGUAAAGGCCUACCAAGGCGACGAUCCAUAGCUGGUCUAAGAGGAUGAUCAGCCACAUUGGGACUGAGACACGGCCCAAACUCCUACGGGAGGCAGCAGUGGGGAAUAUUGGACAAUGGGCGCAAGCCUGAUCCAGCCAUGCGGCGUGAGUGAUGAAGGCCCUAGGGUUGUAAAGCUCUUUCAGUGGGGACGAUAAUGACGGUAACCACAGAAGAAGCCCCGGCUAACUUCGUG